AUUGAACGCUGGCGGCAGGCCUAACACAUGCAAGUCGAGCGGUAGCACAGAGAGCUUGCUCUCGGGUGACGAGCGGCGGACGGGUGAGUAAUGUCUGGGAAACUGCCUGAUGGAGGGGGAUAACUACUGGAAACGGUAGCUAAUACCGCAUAACGUCGCAAGACCAAAGUGGGGGACCUUCGGGCCUCAUGCCAUCAGAUGUGCCCAGAUGGGAUUAGCUAGUAGGUGGGGUAACGGCUCACCUAGGCGACGAUCCCUAGCUGGUCUGAGAGGAUGACCAGCCACACUGGAACUGAGACACGGUCCAGACUCCUACGGGAGGCAGCAGUGGGGAAUAUUGCACAAUGGGCGCAAGCCUGAUGCAGCCAUGCCGCGUGUGUGAAGAAGGCCUUCGGGUUGUAAAGCACUUUCAGCGGGGAGGAAGGCGAUAAGGUUAAUAACCUCAUCGAUUGACGUUACCCGCAGAAGAAGCACCGGCUAACUCCGUGCCAGCAGCCGCGGUAAUACGGAGGGUGCAAGCGUUAAUCGGAAUUACUGGGCGUAAAGCGCACGCAGGCGGUCUGUCAAGUCGGAUGUGAAAUCCCCGGGCUCAACCUGGGAACUGCAUUCGAAACUGGCAGGCUAGAGUCUUGUAGAGGGGGGUAGAAUUCCAGGUGUAGCGGUGAAAUGCGUAGAGAUCUGGAGGAAUACCGGUGGCGAAGGCGGCCCCCUGGACAAAGACUGACGCUCAGGUGCGAAAGCGUGGGGAGCAAACAGGAUUAGAUACCCUGGUAGUCCACGCCGUAAACGAUGUCGAUUUGGAGGUUGUGCCCUUGAGGCGUGGCUUCCGGAGCUAACGCGUUGAAUCGACCGCCUGGGGAGUACGGCCGCAAGGUUAAAACUCAAAUGAAUUGACGGGGGCCCGCACAAGCGGUGGAGCAUGUGGUUUAAUUCGAUGCAACGCGAAGAACCUUACCUGGUCUUGACAUCCACAGAACUUAGCAGAGAUGCUUUGGUGCCUUCGGGAACUGUGAGACAGGUGCUGCAUGGCUGUCGUCAGCUCGUGUUGUGAAAUGUUGGGUUAAGUCCCGCAACGAGCGCAACCCUUAUCCUUUGUUGCCAGCGGUUAGGCCGGGAACUCAAAGGAGACUGCCAGUGAUAAACUGGAGGAAGGUGGGGAUGACGUCAAGUCAUCAUGGCCCUUACGACCAGGGCUACACACGUGCUACAAUGGCAUAUACAAAGAGAAGCGACCUCGCGAGAGCAAGCGGACCUCAUAAAGUAUGUCGUAGUCCGGAUUGGAGUCUGCAACUCGACUCCAUGAAGUCGGAAUCGCUAGUAAUCGUAGAUCAGAAUGCUACGGUGAAUACGUUCCCGGGCCUUGUACACACCGCCCGUCACACCAUGGGAGUGGGUUGCAAAAGAAGUAGGUAGCUUAACCUUCGGGAGGGCGCUUACCACUUUGUGAUUCAUGACUGGGGUGA
rnacentral:rRNA from 1 species